UUGAAUUCGUUUUCUUUAAAAUAUUUUUCAUCAUCCUCAGUCCUAAAUGAUGAUAUUACUGAAUAUCUUUGACCUGUAGUGAUGAAUGAUUAAUUGAUGAAUAUCUUUGGCCCGUUGUGCAAAGAUGAACAUGUGUUGAGAUGAACAUGAUCGACUGGUGAUAUAAAUGAAUAUCUUUGGCCUGUAGUGCAAAGAUGAAUAUUUGAUUAAAGAUGCAUAUUGAUUG
rnacentral:lncRNA from 1 species